AUUGAACGCUGGCGGCAGGCCUAACACAUGCAAGUCGAGCGAGCGGCGGACGGGUGAGUAAUGUCUGGGAAACUGCCUGAUGGAGGGGGGCAACAACUGGAAACGGGAGACAAUACCGCAUACCAUCAGAUUUUCCCAGAUAGGAUCAGCUAGUAGGUGGGGUAACGUCUCACCUAGGCGACGAUCCCUAGCUGGUCUAGGAGUAGGACCAGCCACACGUGAACGGAGACACGGUCCGGCAGCCUAGGGGAGGCAGGAGUGGGGGAAUUCGCACAAUGGGCGCAAUCCUGAUGCAGCCAGGCCGCGUGUGUGAAGAAGUCCUUCGGUUUGUAAAGCCCGUUCAGCGGGGAGGCGUUACCCGCAGAAGAAGCACCGGCUAACUCCGUGCCAGCCGCCGCGGUAAUAC
rnacentral:rRNA from 1 species